AGUGAACGCUGGCGGUAGGCCUAACACAUGCAAGUCGAACGGCAGCACAGUAAGAGCUUGCUCUUACGGGUGGCGAGUGGCGGACGGGUGAGGAAUACAUCGGAAUCUACUUUUUCGUGGGGGAUAACGUAGGGAAACUUACGCUAAUACCGCAUACGACCUACGGGUGAAAGCAGGGGAUCUUCGGACCUUGCGCGUUUGAAUGAGCCGAUGUCGGAUUAGCUAGUUGGCGGGGUAAAGGCCCACCAAGGCGGCGGUCCGUAGCUGGUCUGAGAGGAUGAUCAGCCACACUGGAACUGAGACACGGUCCAGACUCCUACGGGAGGCAGCGGUGGGGAAUAUUGGACAAUGGGCGCAAGCCUGAUCCAGCCAUACCGCGUGGGUGAAGAAGGCCUUCGGGUUGUAAAGCCCUUUUGUUGGGAAAGAAAAGCAGCAGGUUAAUACCCCGCUGUUCUGACGGUACCCAAAGAAUAAGCACCGGCUAACUUCGUG
rnacentral:rRNA from 1 species